AAAAGAAACCAACAGGGAUUGCCCUAGUAACGGCGAGUGAAGCGGCAACAGCUCAAAUUUGAAAUCUGGCCUCCCUUGGGGGUCCGAGUUGUAAUUUGCAGAGGGUGCUUUGGCUUUGGCGGCGGUCUAAGUUCCUUGGAACAGGACAUCGCAGAGGGUGAGAAUCCCGUACGUGGGCGCCUGCCACUGCCGUGUAAAGCCCCUUCGACGAGUCGAGUUGUUUGGGAAUGCAGCUCUAAAUGGGAGGUAAAUUUCUUCUAAAGCUAAAUACCGGCCAGAGACCGAUAGCGCACAAGUAGAGUGAUCGAAAGAUGAAAAGUACUUUGGAAAGAGAGUAAAAUAGCACGUGAAAUUGUUGUAGAGGAAGCGCUUGCAGCCAGACUUCCCCGUAGUCGCUCACCCGGGCUCCUGCCCGGGGCACUCUUCUGCGGGGAGGCCAGCAUCAGUUUGGGCGGUCGGAUAAAGGCCUCUGUCACGUAUCUCCCUCCGGGGAGACCUUAUAGGGGAGGCGCAAUGCGACCAGCCCGGACUGAGGUCCGCGCAUCUGCCAGGAUGCUGGCGUAAUGGCUGUAAGCGGCCCGUCUUGAAACACGGACCAAGGAGUCUAACAUCUAUGCGAGUGUUUGGGUGUCAAGCCCGGGCGCGCAAUGAAAGUGAACGGAGGUGGGAACCCUCGGGUGCACCAUCGACCGAUCCUGAUGUCUUCGGAUGGAUUUGAGUAAGAGCAUAGCUGUUGGGACCCGAAAGAUGGUGAACUAUGCUUGAAUAGGGUGAAGCCAGAGGAAACUCUGGUGGAGGCUCGCAGCGGUUCUGACGUGCAAAUCGAUCGUCAA
rnacentral:rRNA from 1 species